GUGGGUGUGCCGGAGUGGUUAUUAGGAAUGACUAGAAUUCAUUUAAGCUUUGUAUGUGUAGGUUCGAAUCUUAUCGCUCACG
rnacentral:tRNA from 1 species